CGUCAUUGAGGAGGAGGAGGUGCUCCCUCUGUAUCACCACGUCAUUGAGGAGGAGGAGGUGCUCCCUCUGUAUCACCACGUCAUUGAGGAGGAGGUGCUCCCUAUAUAGUGCACUAUUUUAGACCAGAGCCCUAUGGCACCCUAUUCCCUAUAUAGUGCACUAUUUUAGACCAGAGCCCUGUGGGUUCUGAUGAUUCAAAGUAAUGCACUAUAGGUGAGACGAGGUUUUAAUACACUGAUGAGGUUUUAAUACACUGAUGAGGUAUUAAUACACUGUUUUAAUACACUGAUGAGGUAUUAAUACACUGUUUUAAUACACUGAUGAGGUAUUAAUACACUGUUUUAAUACACUGAUGAGGUAUUAAUACACUGACGAGGUAUUAAUACACUGUUUUAAUACACUGACGAGGUAUUUGAUGUGGACGGAUACAGACGUUUACCCAGUGCUGGUUACAGUUUGUCUAUAUAGUCUCCAAUGAUGACAUGAUUUUUGUUGUUUUAAUUAUGUCUUGUCUCGGAAACCUGCUUUUCCUGGUAGUUUUCAAAUGAACAGUUAAAUCAUCACAAGAUGUUAUGUUUGUAAUAAUGGUCUUUGGCGUGGAGACGGCCAACUCGUCCAGUUGAUUUCAUUCAUUUAGUCUGUGUUUUGUGAGUUUAACCUUGCAGGAAUGACAAGUGUCAUCAUGUGUUUGACUGGGAGCCGUCAUGAUUUAGCUACCGUUCAUGUGGUUGAAUCUGUGAUGAUUGCUUAGUUUAUAGUUUAUAACAAUUACAUUUUAUUUGUUGAAUCGCGUCCGAGUUUAAUUUGAUGUUUCAUCCUGUGUACAUUUUGUAUGAUUCAAAACCAUAUGGACAGCGGCGUUUCUUCCAUAUUUUGUUGUUGAGAAACUUAAAUACUGUGACUUGACUUCAGGUACCCAGAAUGAUCGAUAACAGCAGUACAAAUGGUAGUUUCACAGGUCUUUUCAAGUGCUGUUAACAUUGACUUACUCUUCAAUCAUGAUUAUGUUUUUCCAAUCACUUCACCGUCAGGACUUCUUUCUAUUUAAAUCUGAACCUGUAGUGCUGACAUCUUUGUCCUGGGGAAUAUGGCAGUCCUGUGUGAGACUUUAAUAACACUGCCAUCCAGUCCGUCAAUACAAUCCUCACAGUCUGUAGCCAUACAUUUUAAUAGACCCAGCCUCGGACUUACACAGUAACAGUAACUUUACUAUAAAACACUGACACAUAUUUACUGUUCUGUUUUAAAUGCUGUUUGACUGUUCACGAUUCCAUGUCAACCAUUACUACACCAGAAGCAAUAAAGUGUAUUUUGAUUUGUUUCUCAGACUCUUCCUGUCAUUUCAUUUUGGGGGUACUUUCACAUUCUACUGGUGUUGUGUACAUCUGUUUGUUGAGAGAAACGCUGAGCUUCAAUCUCUUCUUCGGAGCUCAUUAACUAAUCUCUAAUGUCCUCCAUUUUAUGAAAUGGAUGUUCUGUUCUGAGGUCCAAACCCAUCUUUAAUGCAACGGUUCUGCUAAGUAUGUUAUUAACGUAUGGUCCUCGAAUCACAAAGAUCCAG
rnacentral:lncRNA from 1 species